rnacentral:rRNA from 1 species
ACACCUAACAGCUAGCCUUAACACUAGAAAAACGCUAUAAAAUUAAACAAAACUUGUAGUAUACUAAGUAAACCAUUUUAAACCCUUAGUCUGGGCGACAAAAAAGGAAAAUAAGAGCGAUAGAGGCAGUACCGUGAGGGAAAGCUGAAAUAGAAAUUAAAUAAACCAUCUAAGUAAAAAAAAGUAGAGCUAAUCUCUCG